rnacentral:lncRNA from 1 species
GAAGAAGAAGAAGAAAAAAGAGGAGAGAGGAGAAGAAUAAAGAAGACGAAAAAGGAAAAGAAGGAAGAAGAAGAAGAAGAGGGAAAUGGAAAAGAAGGAAGAAGAAGAAGAAGAAAAACAAAAGGAAAGAAGGAAGAAGAAGAAGAAGAAAAGGAAGAGGAGGAAACAAAGAAGAUGAUGAAGAAGAAAAUGACACCAUGAUACCCCGACACCCCGGCACGAUGCCCGAAACCACGACACGACAUCCUAACGACACCCUGGCAAAAAACUCCGAGCAGUUGUUAAUACACCGCCCCCGACGCCACUGACC